UUCAAAUUGUUUCAGAUUUCAAACAAAUGGUGUUCACAUAAAAUGAUUUUUUUCUGCUGUUUGAUUUACUUAAUUAAAAUAGGCCCGUGUCACACAAUUACUUUGUAUUUUCUUCUCAACUUAAUUCCAUUGUGUAGGCUAUAAUUAAUCUAAUUCUGUUAUGUGAAAUACGUCGUUUGCGCGGGAGCAACGUGCGCGUGCGCAUGCGCUUUGAAAUCCAGCCCACACCAGGACCGUUGGUUUGGAAAGGACACGAGGGGACUGACUGACUUGUUUAAGCUCGUUAAAAGUGACAUUUGCUGUAUAUGUGGAAUUGCAAAGCCUGUUCAGUUGUUGUACCAAGUAGGUUAAAACUUCUGCAGCAUUAUAGGUUAAAACACAGGCAUUUCGGAUAUAGUAGUCGUUUUCCAUGUGUUUAUUCAAACUGCCCCUGCACAUUUAGAACUUGGAAUGCACUUAGAAUUCAUUUAAAUAGAUUUCAUGUGUCUGAAACUAGGCAGAAACAGUUUCAAAAUAUAAUAUUUAGUUGCCAUAUAUGUAAUUGUGGAGGACUUAACUUGGAGAAAGAUUACUGGGCUCAUAUUAAUGCACAUCUUAAGAAAAAUGAAUUGAUAACUUGUAUGUUUUCAGGUUGUAACUUUAAAACAAAUAUCUGUGGUACUUUUAAAUCUCAUAAGAACAGAAAGCAUCAUUCUUUUUUACUAAAUGAUUUUAAACCUGGGAUAGUAACAACUACAACAGUAGCUUCACAAGAGUCAGAUUUUGCAGAUGAUGUUGAGGUAGAGGCAUAUUAUGAAAUUGAAUCUGAUGUCCAUUCUUCAAAUAACCUUCCAAAUGAAAUUAAACACAAUUUUGCAGCAGCAUUGUUAAAGCUUGAACAUCUGUCCCAUGUACCCAGUGCAGCCAUUGAUGAAUUUUUACAAGAGCUUUACAUCCUAAAUAGCACUUUGUCAAUUCCUCUUACUACAGAUGUUUUAGUAGAUGCUUUUCAAAAGCACAAUCUUGAAGUUGACAAAUCUGUCCUGAAAGAAAUAGCAACUACACUGUCCACAGAUAACCCUAUACACAAAGCUAUACAAAAAGGUGGCUGUCUUGGUUCUGCUUAUCAACGUAGGCAGUAUUAUAAGACUAACUUUAAUGUAGUUGAUCCUGUUGAAUAUAUUCUGGAUGCUAAAAACAAAAAGACUUUUCAGUACAUUCCAAUUCUUGAUUCCCUUCAAGUGCUUUUAAAUCGGAAAGAUAUUUUAGAAAAGAUAUCUCAGAAUCAGAAAACACAAGAAACUGAGGAAGACAGGGUGUAUCGGUCUUUUAGAGAUGGUCUUCAUUUUAAACAAAAUGGCUUUUUGUCAGGUCAGGAGCUAAGACUUUUUGUGGGUUUAUAUGUUGAUGAUUUUGAGCUCUGCAACCCCCUGGGGACAUCCCGCAAAAAACACAAGCUUUGUGCAGUCUAUUGGGUGCUAAGUAACCUACCUCCUGGGUCCAAUUCAUCAUUGUCCUCUAUAUAUUUGGCCCUACUAUGUAGAACUGAUGAUGUCAAAACAUAUGGCUAUAACAGAGUGCUUGAACCACUCCUAAAAGACCUCCAAUACUUGGAAGAACAUGGAAUUUUCAUACCACUGUUAGGAGAAACACUGAAGGGAACUGUUGUUACUGUUUCUGCAGACAAUUUAGGAGCUCAUGGUUUAGCUGGCUUUAAUGAAAGUUUUUCAGGGCAUUAUAUUUGUCGAUUUUGUACUGCAAGCAAACAAGACAUUCAGUCAAUAGAGGUAAGAACAGGUGCUCUCAGCCUCAGAACAAAAGAGCUCCACAGUGCUCAUGUGAGGCUGGCUGAGGAUAGUGAUACUAACUAUUUUGGAGUGAAAAAAGCUUGUCCUCUAACUGAAGCUCUUUCUCAUUUUCAUGUCCUCACUGGCUACCCUCCAGACAUUGCCCAUGAUAUUUUUGAGGGUAUUGUACCUGUUGAGCUUGCACAGUGUCUCACAUUGAUAAUAUCAAAAAAAUACAUUACCUUGGAUAAAAUCAACAAAUCAAUUUUGGAUUUUCCAUACAAAUAUAGCGAUAAGACUAAUAAACCUCAUGUUUUGCCUCAACCUUUAUCAACCAGGAAAACAAUAGGAGGCAAUGCUCAUGAGAAUUGGAGCUUGUUGCGCUUGCUUCCAUUUUUAAUUGGUCCUCAGAUUCCUGAAAAUGAGCCUGCAUGGCACAUUCUCUUAGACUUGAAAGAGAUUGUAGAACUUGUUGUUGCCCCAGUUCACAAUGACGAGUCCAUUGCUUACUUAGAAAGUAAAAUAUCAGAGCACAGACAAAGAUAUCAGGACUUAUUUCCUGAACAGAGAUUGCUGCCCAAACACCACUACUUGGAGCACUACCCUCAAAUAAUCAGGUUGUUUGGUCCUCUUGUGGGGUAUUGGACAAUCAGGUUUGAAGCAAAGCACAGCUUCUUUAAACAGGCCAUUAGACAUACCAGUUGCUUCAAAAAUGUCCCAUUCUCCCUGGCCACAAAACAUCAGCUAAUGAUUGGGUACCAGCUAACUUCACCAAGUCUUGAGAAGUCAGAGCUGGAAAUAUCAAGUGGAUCUGCAGUCCCAGUGGAUAUUUUGAAGGAAGAGAUAGCUAUAGUUGUGAGGCAGAGAUAUCCUAAUCUCUCUGAAAUUCAUAUCACAAAAAAUGUUUGGAGCAAGGGUAUCAACUACAGGACAGGAAUGAUCGUUGUUCAUGGAUCUGAAGGCGGAUUACCUGAAUUUGGUCAAAUUGAGCAAAUUUGUGUUUUGCAUCAAAAGUUGUUCUUUAUUGUGAAACAACUCUGUGGAUGGUAUAGAGAGCACUAUAGAGCUUACGAGCUAAGUCAGUCCCCAACAAAGGUAGUAAGCCUUGUAGAAGUCAGUGAAUUAACUGAUGAAUACCCUUUGGCUGACUAUUUGAUUGGACAUUUGCAGAUGGUAACGUUAAAGAGAUUUGUCUGCUGCAAAGGAUGACAUUGAUGCAGCUCGUGAACUUGCCAUCAGAGGACUGUGUAUCUAUCUUAAUGAGGACCCUAAAGAUCUCAUUCAGGAGUAUGUGGACAUGGAAGAAGAUCUUUUACAGAGUGCUAUUGAGAAGACUACCAUGGGCAUCUUCGUGAUAAAGCACACUGCAGACAAUGAAGCCCAUAAUAUAGGAAUUGUGCUAGAGGGUGUGGCAGUGCUUCAGGACCUCGACAGCGUGGCUUUUGCAACUUCAAUGUUGUUUGGUCUAAUCUAUACUCUUAACCUGCAGUACCCCACAAAGUUGCGUUUUACAUUUGAAAUUUUGCAAAAACUCAUCAUGGAGUUGGAUGCAGGUGAACUCUCUAUCAAGGCCCAAAAUUUCAAAUCUAAACUCCACCAGUGAGAUGGACCGAUUUUUGAAUGACUACUGAGACUACAAAUAAGAAACCUCAGAAAAUUUCAGCAGCCUUCAUGCAAUACCACCGCAGAGGAUAAACCGUGAUCUUGUUGUUUAGACUGUUCC